GCUACACAUGCAGUCGAGCGGAACGACANUAUUAGAUVUCUUCGGAGGNAUUUAAUGGGCGUCGAGCGGCGGACGGGUGAGUAAUGCCUAGGAAAUUGCCUUGAUGUGGGGGAUAACCAUUGGAAACGAUGGCUAAUACCGCAUAAUGCCUACGGGCCAAAGAGGGGGAUCUUCGGACCUCUCGCGUCAAGAUAUGCCUAGGUGGGAUUAGCUAGUUGGUGAGGUAAUGGCUCACCAAGGCGACGAUCCCUAGCUGGUCUGAGAGGAUGAUCAGCCACACUGGAACUGAGACACGGUCCAGACUCCUACGGGAGGCAGCAGUGGGGAAUAUUGCACAAUGGGCGAAAGCCUGAUGCAGCCAUGCCGCGUGUAUGAAGAAGGCCUUCGGGUUGUAAAGUACUUUCAGUUGUGAGGAAGGGNGUG
rnacentral:rRNA from 1 species